GCAAGGUCUUCAGCGGAGCACGGAGGCAGAACUACAUCCUCAGUGGAGCAAGAUGGCAGAGUGAUGUCCUCAACCGAGCAGUAAGGUGGAGUGAUAUCUGAAGUGGAGCCUGGCAUAGUGACAUCCAUAGGUGAAGCAGGGAAGAAAAGCGGAGCUCUUGGCUGCACCGGGAGGUGGAGCAACAUCUUCAGCUGAACAGGGAUGCUGGGCGGCAUCCUCAAAUGAGCAGUUAAGCUGAACAACAUUCUCUGUCGACUCAGCAGACUGGACAAGAUCCACAGUGGAGGAGGGAGUAUGGGAGAUGGUUCCAGCCUGGUUAAAAGGCUCCUCCUUGACAUACCUCAUGAUGGAGUACAUCAUGUUGAGCCACUCCUGGUUGGAUCGAAUUAAGGUGCCCGUCGUCAUUUUUUCUUCUCUCUUUUCCUGGAGGGGAUGGAUUUGGAUCUGAACACUCACUAUCAGCUCGCGCAUCUCACUGCUGACAUCAUGGUGCUACUUAACAUUCUUCGCAGCACCCCCUCUGGAAAUGGAAAUGCGGGGUCCCGUCCCCCCCUCAGAUACAGAAUCCACCCCGUGAAUGUGUGUAUUGACGCCUCUACACAGACCAACGCUCCCUCCAGCUUUCAGUCUGAGGAUGAUGUCACCUUCUCUGAUCUGGGCUCUGACCAUUCUUCCCUCUUCUCACCUGUCAGUCCGCCAUCCUCUCAGUGGUCUCCUUAUUUCACCUUUGCUGACUAUCCCAUGUCCCCAGGACACACCCCAUUUUCUUCCCCCUACCGCUCUCCUCAAGAUUACGCACCCACCAGUCCUGUGAAUUUUCAAUAAAAUUACGUAUUACUCAUACUAGGUCUCCCUCAUGUUUAUUUCAUGUCAUUUUUAUCCACAACAUUGUACACUGGUAUUUGUUAAGG
ensembl:lncRNA